rnacentral:rRNA from 1 species
UACGUAGGGUGCGAGCGUUAAUCGGAAUUACUGGGCGUAAAGCGUGCGCAGGCGGUUUUUUAAGCCAGAUGUGAAAUCCCCGGGCUUAACCUGGGAAUGGCAUUUGGGACUGCAAGGCUUGAGUUUGGCAGAGGAGACUGGAAUUCCUGGUGUAGCAGUGAAAUGCGUAGAUAUCAGGAGGAAUACCGAUGGCGAAGGCAGGUCUCUGGGCUAGAACUGACGCUCAUGCACGAAAGCGUGGGGAGCAAACAGG